GAUGAACGCUGGCGGCGUGCCUAAUACAUGCAAGUCGAGCGAACAGACGAGGAGCUUGCUCCUCUGACGUUAGCGGCGGACGGGUGAGUAACACGUGGAUAACCUACCUAUAAGACUGGGAUAACUUCGGGAAACCGGAGCUAAUACCGGAUAAUAUAUUGAACCGCAUGGUUCAAUAGCGAAAGACGGUUUUGCUGUCACUUAUAGAUGGAUCCGCGCCGCAUUAGCUAGUUGGUAAGGUAACGGCUUACCAAGGCGACGAUGCGUAGCCGACCUGAGAGGGUGAUCGGCCACACUGGAACUGAGACACGGUCCAGACUCCUACGGGAGGCAGCAGUAGGGAAUCUUCCGCAAUGGGCGAAAGCCUGACGGAGCAACGCCGCGUGAGUGAUGAAGGUCCUCGGAUCGUAAAACUCUGUUAUUAGGGAAGAACAAAUGUGUAAGUAACUAUGCACGUCUUGACGGUACCUAAUCAGAAAGCCACGGCUAAUUACGUG
rnacentral:rRNA from 1 species